UAGGGAAUCUUCGGCAAUGGACGGAAGUCUGACCGAGCAACGCCGCGUGAGUGAAGAAGGUUUUCGGAUCGUAAAGCUCUGUUGUAAGAGAAGAACGAGUGUGAGAGUGGAAAGUUCACACUGUGACGGUAUCUUACCAGAAAGGGACGGCUAACUACGUGCCAGCAGCCGCGGUAAUACGUAGGUCCCGAGCGUUGUCCGGAUUUAUUGGGCGUAAAGCGAGCGCAGGCGGUUAGAUAAGUCUGAAGUUAAAGGCUGUGGCUUAACCAUAGUACGCUUUGGAAACUGUUUAACUUGAGUGCAAGAGGGGAGAGUGGAAUUCCAUGUGUAGCGGUGAAAUGCGUAGAUAUAUGGAGGAACACCGGUGGCGAAAGCGGCUCUCUGGCUUGUAGCUGACGCUGAGGCUCGAAAGCGUGGGGAGCAAACAGGAUUAGAUACCCUGGUAGUCCACGCCGUAAACGAUGAGUGCUAGGUGUUAGACCCUUUCCGGGGUUUAGUGCCGUAGCUAACGCAUUAAGCACUCCGCCUGGGGAGUACGACCGCAAGGUUG
rnacentral:rRNA from 1 species